ACGCGAAGGMCCUUACCUGGUCUUGACAUCCACARAMCUUWSCAGAGAUGSWUUGGUGCCUUCGGGAACUGUGAGACAGGUGCUGCAUGGCUGUCGUCAGCUCGUGUUGUGAAAUGUUGGGUUAAGUCCCGCAACGAGCGCAACCCUUAUCCUUUGUUGCCAGCGGUUAGGCCGGGAACUCAAAGGAGACUGCCAGUGAUAAACUGGAGGAAGGUGGGGAUGACGUCAAGUCAUCAUGGCCCUUACGACCAGGGCUACACACGUGCUACAAUGGCAUAUACAAAGAGAAGCGMCCUCGCGAGAGCAAGCGGACCUCAUAAAGUUUUUCUAGUCCGGAUUGGASUCUSCAACUCGACUCCAYGAAGUCGGAAUCSCUAGUAAUCGUAGAUCAGAA
rnacentral:rRNA from 1 species